rnacentral:rRNA from 1 species
UACGGAGGGUGCAAGCGUUAAUCGGAAUUACUGGGCGUAAAGGGUGCGUAGGUGGUUAGUUAAGUUAUCUGUGAAAUACCUGGGCUCAACCCAGGAAGGUCAGAUAAGACUGAUUGACUAGAGUAUGGGAGAGGGCAGUGGAAUUUCCGGUGUAGCGGUGAAAUGCGUAGAGAUCGGAAGGAACACCAGUGGCGAAGGCGGCUGCCUGGCCUAAUACUGACACUGAGGCACGAAAGCGUGGGGAGCAAACAGG